UAGCUAACGUUAAUUCGUUUGGAUUGGGUUAGCUAACCGUAUACUAUAGCCAAAUUGACAGUUCGGUCUGUUGCGUUCAUCUUUCUUGUGGGUAAAAUAAUCAGUGAUAAUGUAGAACGAAUCAUUUCAGUAUUCAGUAUUAACAACGUGCAGAAAUCCGAAUGUGUGUUUCUUUGGAUAACGCUAUUAGUGGCAAAGUGGUCGUAGGCUUCACCGGACAAAUACAUUUCUUCUAGGCAGGGAGCGAGAGUUCAGCUAUUUCGAAUACAUCUUUAGUUUGUCAGCAGGCACGGACUGACAUUUUGUCUUAGGAUGUAUACUUUUUGGGUAAUUCUGUAGUUGGAAUGAGGGGAACGGAAGCUCUCAGAUGAAAGGUGCUUGCUAACGUUAGCUACAGCUCAGAGAUGGCGAACUCCAUUGGAAACCUUUCUCUAAAUGGCUCUGGUUAACGUUAACUCUAUUCAGUCUGGAGAUUGUGUGGUUAGCUUGCUAGCAGCCAUUGUCCAGAGAGAUGGUCGUGGCAUUUUCCCGUUUUAGGCAUGGAGGGUCUUCAAGAUGCAAUUCAACACCAAUUGCCCGAGUUGGAGACCGAGAUGGGGAGAUCUUUGUCGGAGCAUCUGAGGGCAAAUUUUGGAGUGGAGAAUAUUAACAACCUUGAAUAUGUUCAGCCAGAGGACAUAAAAUACUGUUUGAUGCCAAUAUAGUGCCUGGAAUUGCUUCAGUCCUUCAACCAAAGAGAAAAUGAAGAAUGGAUAGGAUCUGUAACAAUGGAUAGUACACUUGUCCUCCUCCAAGCAUCGGUGACCUCCAAGAACAGUGGCCUUUGCUUUUCACCAAGUUAUGACUAUGCGACCACUUCAAUACCCUCACUGGCAUUGUGAUUGACAGUCGCCUGACUCAAGCUCUCCUGAACAAGGGUCACUGCAACUUGGGUUGAUGUCGAGGCGCAAAUUCCUUUGCCAGACACACCAAGGCUGAUCAUGCUUGGAAAUACUCUAUUGGGUUCCUCAAAAUGGAUGGUGUCGAUCGAGGGAAGUGUGGUCUGUGUUAUGGACAGUGAGUCCAACUUUGUUGCUGCCCUCUUCAGCACUUUCUAUGAAUUUAACAUAGAAUACCAGGAGUCAGCGUCUGCAACCUUGGAGCUGAUACAGAGGAACCAAAUGCACUGCGAAAGCAGGAGUGAGCCGCAAAACCGGAAAGGUCGUUCAGAGGAAGCCAUUGCCAAUUGACCCACAUGUUAAGUGCUUUCUCGCAGACCUGAAGGAGUUUGAGUGGAAAAACUCCAACAUUAAAUCCUGCCAUGCGGUUUGGGUCAGCAAAUGAUCUGCUUGAGCCAUCCUGGAGCCUGUGUUGGCUUGCAGUAGUGUGCUUCUCUGGCUCCAGUCAAGCCCUGCUUGCUCGUCUCUAUCAUCAUUCUCUCUCAGCCCCUUUCUCUCUCGAUCUCGCUCUCUCUCUCUCUCUCUCUCACACAGGCAAGCAGUUCUUGUUUUAGUUUUUUGUGAAAAUGUCUCCCUUUUAAACUGUUUUCCUAUUUUUCAUUGAUCUGUUUAGAUUAUUAUUCUCCUUUUUUUAAAUUUUUUUUUUUACAUAAUCCUGUAUUUUCAAGAAUGACCUAUUCUAAUGUCUUGGUUUGUGUAUGGUGAAGUACAUUAUUGGCCAGUAUUUGUCAAUGUUCUUAUCACUGUAUCUCUGUCUCUUUCUCUCCCCUACUAUCUGGAGUUGUAAUGUUGCUCUUUUCAAAUGUUGUUCUUUGUGGUUAAAGUGCAAUUCAUGUUAUGAAUUUGAAUAAAUAUAUAUUUGUA